rnacentral:rRNA from 1 species
AUUGAACGCUGGCGGCAUGCUUUACACAUGCAAGUCGAACGGCAGCACGGGUGCUUGCACCUGGUGGCGAGUGGCGGACGGGUGAGUAAUACAUCGGAACGUAUCCAGAAGAGGGGGAUAACGCAUCGAAAGAUGUGCUAAUACCGCAUAUUCUCUGAGGAGGAAAGCAGGGGAUCGCAAGACCUUGCGCUUUUGGAGCGGCUGAUGUCUGAUUAGCUAGUUGGUGGGGUAAAGGCCUACCAAGGCGACGAUCAGUAGUUGGUCUGAGAGGACGACCAGCCACACUGGGACUGAGACACGGCCCAGACUCCUACGGGAGGCAGCAGUGGGGAAUUUUGGACAAUGGGCGCAAGCCUGAUCCAGCAAUGCCGCGUGAGUGAAGAAGGCCUUCGGUUGUAAGUACUCUUCUAGUCGAGAAG